CUGCCUGCGAGCGCGUGUCAGAGUGUGUGUGUGUGUGUGGAUGUCGGAGGCAGAAAAGAGAUAAAGAGAGAGAGAAAGGGAGGGAGAGGCGAGCGGCGUUUCUUCUCCCCCCUCUAGCCUCCCCGUCUCCCUGCUCCCUGUCACUCCAUCCUUCCUCCCCUUCUCCUGGACCACCCUCCAGCCCUGCUCCGAGCCGGACCGAGAACCCCCCACCCCCCCCUCCUACCUACCACCCAGACCACCCUGGACCCUUUGACUCUCCUCACUUCUCCGUCCCACCAACCACAGCCUCUGAGCAGGGAUUCCUCACCUGCCUCCCCCCCUUCAUCCCCAGGAGUGCUGUCUGUGAAAGCAUCUGCACAGUAUCCACUAAAUACAAGUUCCACAGUUGAUUUGAUCUCAGUACACAUCUGCUGGUGAGGCGCAGCGAAGUGCAUCGGCCAGACAUCCGACCCCCAUUCUGCUGGAAGGCUGCCAGCCACAGGUCACAUGACCUGGAAGAAAAAACCUAGGAGACUUUUGGGAUCCCUCUUCGCAUGGGCUGGCUCUCUACCUGAGGGGACGUCCAAAGGCUGAUGAACUGACCUGUGUCUGUGUGAGACCACACCGCUCUGCUGUCCUUUAUGCCCUGGGCACACAACAUCCAGCACAUAUCUGGUGA